GACGAACGCUGGCGGCGUGCUUAACACAUGCAAGUCGAACGAAGAGCGAUGGAAGCUUGCUUCUAUCAAUCUUAGUGGCGAACGGGUGAGUAACGCGUAAUCAACCUGCCCUUCAGAGGGGGACAACAGUUGGAAACGACUGCUAAUACCGCAUACGAUCUAAUCUCGGCAUCGAGGAUAGAUGAAAGGUGGCCUCUACAUGUAAGCUAUCACUGAAGGAGGGGAUUGCGUCUGAUUAGCUAGUUGGAGGGGUAACGGCCCACCAAGGCGAUGAUCAGUAGCCGGUCUGAGAGGAUGAACGGCCACAUUGGGACUGAGACACGGCCCAGACUCCUACGGGAGGCAGCAGUGGGGAAUCUUCCGCAAUGGACGAAAGUCUGACGGAGCAACGCCGCGUGAGUGAUGACGGCCUUCGGGUUGUAAAGCUCUGUUAAUCGGGACGAAAGGCCUUCUUGCGAACAGUUAGAAGGAUUGACGGUACCGGAAUAGAAAGCCACGGC
rnacentral:rRNA from 1 species